rnacentral:rRNA from 1 species
UACGUAGGUGGCAAGCGUUGUCCGGAAUUAUUGGGCGUAAAGCGCGCGCAGGCGGUCCUUUAAGUCUGAUGUGAAAGCCCACGGCUCAAACCGUGGAGGGUCAUUGGAAACUGGGGGACUUGAGUGCAGGAGAGAAGAGUGGAAUUCCACGGUGUAGCGGUGAAAUGCGUAGAGAUGUGGAGGAACACCAGUGGCGAAGGC